ACUGUCCUGCCAGAGGGAGCCCUUCUGUAGGUGAAUGUUUUUAAUAGCAUGCCUCCUCAUCUCUCUGAGGGCACAGCUUUGUGGGCGUUGUCAGUGUGGUGACAGCAGAAGACUGUCACUGUACGACCUGGGCUCAGGGCACGAGCUGAGCACAGACAUGUCUUCCUGUCCCUUAGGAUCUCUCCUUCCUUGGCUAUACAGCUCUUGCUCUUAGGAUUAUUGUAGUGCUGCAAGAAGAUGUAAAAGUACUUUGGAGGCAGGGUGUGGUGGUAUGUGCCUUUAAUACCAGCCACAGGAGGGCUGCAGUAGGAAGGUCGCUUGAGUCCAGGAAGUCAAGACCAGCUCAGGCAGCAUGUUCUGGAGGCCAGAAGUCUGAGGUGAAGUCUGAAUUCAAGCAUCGGCAGCUUCAAGUUCUCUCAUGGCCUCUCUCCCUGGCUAUAGACUGUCACUUUCUCUAUAGGGCAAUCUUUCCUCUGCGUGUGUCUGCGGUAAUCUCCUGUUACAGUAAGGACAUCAGUCCUAUUGUAUUAGGACCCACAAUAAAGACCUCAUUUUAACUUAA